CCAGAGGAUCGGGCGGCCGCGGGUGCGCAAGCACGCGAGGAAAGUCCGGGCUCCGCGAAACGACGGUGGCGGGUAACGCCCGCCGGGGGUGACCCCAGGGAAAGUGCCACAGAGAGCAGGUCGCCGGGUUCGCCCGGUAAGAGUGAAAGGGUGCGGUAAGAGCGCACCGCGCGGCUGGUAACAGCGGCGGCAAGGCAAACCCCACCGGGAGCAAAACCGAAUAGGGGCGGCAUAGGGGCUUCGUUUCAGCUCGUCGCCCGGGUUGGUUGCUUGAGGCGGCGCGCGAGCGUCGUCCUAGAGGAAUGGUCGCCCAUCGCCGAAAGGCGUGGACAGAACCCGGCUUAUAGAUGCUCUGGCGCU
rnacentral:RNase_P_RNA from 1 species